rnacentral:rRNA from 1 species
UACGGAGGGUGCAAGCGUUAUCCGGAUUCACUGGGUUUAAAGGGUGCGUAGGCGGGCAGGUAAGUCCGUGGUGAAAUCUCUGAGCUUAACUCAGAAACUGCCAUGGAUACUAUUUGUCUUGAAUAUUGUGGAGGUAAGCGGAAUAUGUCAUGUAGCGGUGAAAUGCUUAGAUAUGACAUAGAACACCAAUGCGAAGGCAGCUUACUACACAGUUAUUGACGCUGAGGCACGAAAGCGUGGGGAUCAAACAGG